rnacentral:rRNA from 1 species
AUACGGAGGAUCCGAGCGUUAUCCGGAUUUAUUGGGUUUAAAGGGAGCGUAGGUGGACAUGUAAGUCAGUUGUGAAAGUUUGCGGCUCAACCGUAAAAUUGCAGUUGAUACUGUGUGUCUUGAGUACAGUAGAGGUGGGCGGAAUUCGUGGUGUAGCGGUGAAAUGCUUAGAUAUCACGAAGAACUCCGAUUGCGAAGGCAGCUCACUGGACUGUUACUGACACUGAGGCUCGAAAGUGUGGGUAUCAAACAGGAUUAGAUACCCUGGUAGUCCACACAGUAAACGAUGAAUACUCGCUGUUUGCGAUAUACAGCAAGCGGCCAAGCGAAAGCAUUAAGUAUUCCACCUGGGGAGUACGCCGGCAACGGUGAAACUCAAAGGAAUUGACGGGG